UUACCUCCAACAGCUGGACAGAUCAUUAGAACAAUGAAAAGUUCUGGAAGGGUGUCUUAGACGCUGGCGAUCCUCAGGGCAGCGAGAUCACAGAGUAUCCUGGCCACCAACUGUUCCAACAAGGCCGAAUUCCUCACUGCCCUUUUCAGACUUGCGCCCGUUCCCCUUCCAGCCCGUGGGAGAUGGAUGGUUUCAUUACUUGCGGCACUCGGCAAUAAAUCUCGCAGUUGCGGUGGAAGCGAGCUCUUUCCCGUGCCACCUCCCGUCCUGUGAUUCAUCACGGUUAAGCUUUCCUUUACCCCUGAAGCUGGGGGCUGGGGAGGAGCAGAGGCCUGGGGACUGAGGGGCUGUCACUCCUCAGAGGCUGAGGAGAAGGGACUGUCUGCAGACAGGGUCAGGCUCCAGGUGGGCUGGAGCAAUGGCAGCCUCCGCAUAAGGGCUGUAAAGAAAGGGAAGCAGCCAGCGCAGCCCUUAGGGACCUUCACGCCUGGUCCUUUUGCCAAGAAAAUCUCCCAAAGAAGGGGAGAAAGCGGAACGUCAGACAGAAAAGAAGCAGCCAGAAAGUUCUCCGCCAGGGGAGUGCUGAAGAAUCUAAUUCACGAUGAAAUGUGUUCUUGUUUGUGUACAAUUAAUUUUCCUCCCAAAUGAAGGGCUUUGUCUCUCACUCUGUGUUUCAAUAGCAACCGCGUAAUUAAGGCAGCGCGUGCGUCUCUGCUCGGAAAGGGGCUGCUCCGUGUUAACAUGGUGGGAAGCAAACAUCGCUUCCUUGCUUCCUGGGUCUAAGAAGAGGAAAACAAAGAGCCAAAGAAAAUAGCUUCAAAUAGAGACUUGGCUCCCGCAGGGCUGAUGUCAUUUGGAAAACGUGAGCUGGACGGCUCUGUGAGUGGAGGGGCCACAGGAACCCUGUUCGGGCUGCGGGGAGCUGGGUGCUGGGUGAGGAGGCUGAAGGUUGCCCCAGGGGUAGCAGGAGCCAGGUCCUGCUUCGAGGCCCUGCAGAGGCCAAGGGGCAGGUGUGCAUGAGACAGGUUUUCAAUUCAGGAUUAUUUUCAUAGUGAACACUCAAACACAGUCUCAUUUUUCUUGAUAUAUUUUAUUUUGUUGAUUUCUAUAGAGAGUUUUUUUUUUUUUUUAAGCCUGGACACUGAAAAGGUUCAUUUAUGAGGGUUUUUCCAGAGACGGUUAAUGGAGGGGGAUGGUGUACUCUGAAUGUGUCCACCAACAUCUAUCGGUGGGGGGCUUGGUGGGAGUAAAAGAAAUAACCGAAGGACGUCUGAGAACUCGGGCUUACCUUUCCUUCCCCCUCCCCCUUUGCCUCUCCUAGUCUCUCCUGCCCUUCAUCCCUCUGUGUCCUCCCUGGCUACCCUGAGCUGUCCUGUACCUCUGAAACCCUGAGACAAAACAAUUCCUUCCUCAGCUAAAGGAUUAAGAACUAGCCCCGUAGGUCUCAAGCCAGGGACACAGGGCUAACUGUGGUGCCUAUUUAACAUAUCAAAGCAAAUCUGGUUGCCAGGUUCCCCCAGCAUCCCUCAGUCCAUACAUUCUCUACCCUAAACUUCUCCAGCUCCAGGGCUGGGUUGCCUUUCCCCCAGAUGCCCUUCCCUGUGUAACCCAGCCAUUUUGGUUACCUGUUCUUCUUUGUCUGUCCUAGCCUCUCCUGGUUCUCCCCUCUCCCUUCCCCUUUACCUUCUAGGGUCAGGUUCAGUCUAGACUCUCCCAGAUGUCCCUGCCUCAGGCUAUGCUCUCCCCUUUAAUAAACAAUCCUUCUCCUCCACCACCUCGAGCAGUGGUGACCUUCCUUUGGAUUUCUUUUCCCCCCCACUCACAGCCUCCCUUCCCUACUUUUUCUCAUAUACUUCCCAUUUGAUUAAGAACAAGCUCCCGCUCCCUCCCCCUCCCCCGCCAUUCUUCACUUCAAUCUAGAUAUUAACCUCUGGAGUUUUGAAACAAACAAACAAGAAACCGAAGACUAGUUCUGCCUGUCAGCACCAGCUGCAGUAACCGGCUGGCUUUUCUCAGGUUAGGCAAAAGGCAGUUCUGUCUCUUCUGCAUGGCUCAGCUCUGUUUUCAGUUUUGAGACAGGGUUUCACUGUGUAUCCCUGGCUGUCCUGGAACUCGCUCUGUAGACCAGGCUGGCCUCAAACUCACAGAGAUCCUCCUGCCGCUGCCAUUAAAGGUGUGCACCACCAGCACCCGCCUCAAUUUGGUUCUUAACAAAUUCCUAGUACACGUGUUCAGAGCAGUACAGGUGAGUGUCAUGAAUCCUUUCUGGAGGAUUGCCAUGACUCGUCUAAGACAUCCAUCUGCAUGAGUAUGUGUGCACAUCUGUGCACGUGUGUGUGCGUUUGCAUGUAUAUAGGGAAUUCAAGGCCAACCUGAGCUGCAUGAGACCCUGUCUCAAGAGAAGAGAGAACUAGAGUGACUUUUGUAUCUUGUUCUGGUAGGAAUAACUGCACACUGCAUCUUUGAAUUUUUGGACUCUUCAUCCAGGGGAUGGAUCUCCAGCAUGGGCGCUUGAGUGCGCUCUUCUGAGGGCCUUCUCUAUCCUGGCUUCAGUUUCCUUUCUCUUCAGCUCUUAAGAGGUCUUUACAUAUGACAGAGGCACACAGUUAACUACAUCGUUAAGUAAUACAAGCAGCAGGUGGAGGCGAAGGACUAGUCAGGGUUGGCAAGACUGCUCGGUGGGGAAUGGUGCUUACUAUCAACCCCGGUGCCUUGAGUUUGAAUUCUGGGACUAUAUGGUGGGGUGAAAGACCUGACUCCUGAAGGCUGUCCUCUGACCUAUAUAUGUGUGUGAGUUCAUGUGAGUAUGUGCUCGUAUGUGUACAUGCACACAUACAUUAAAAUGUAAAAACAGAAUAAAUGGACGCACUAGCUGAACCCAUUUUUUGUUUUUUUUUGAUGAGUUGGCCGAAAGUGAAGCUGCAUCAGGGAUGCCCAUGAAUAAUUAAGGGGCAACGCAUGGUGGCCACGUUUCAAGGAGGCUCAUUCCUCAGCUGUCACCUUCCCUGGGCUGCACGACAAGACCUGCUGAAGAUUCCCUUAAUUGAAUUUUAUUUGUGAAGAUGAGACACGGCUAUCCCCCCCUUCAUUCUUACAAACUGGGUGAUAUUGUCUCUGAAUAGUGCUGUCCUGCGUGGAAGCGCUGGAUCGUCCCUGCCUUCCCUCUUCUGCCCAAGGAGCAGCCAUCACCUGAGGCUCCUCAGGUCAUCCAUCGUCCUUGAAGGAUCCUUCCUGACAGCAUCUGAAAACCAUGGCUCCUGAGACAGAAGAAAACAUGCUGUGCCCUGCCAGGCCCAGCUUCCCUCCUGCAGUCUGGAGCCUGCCCAUUGCCCGUGCUAACGACCUCUGUCCCCAGGGUGGCCCUUCCUCUCUGUCACCUCUGGAGCUGCACGGUGACAUCUUCUCUUUUCGUGUCCCUUAAGCCUUCUCGGCUUGGCAUGGUCUCCCUGCCUUCCUUCCCCAGCUCACUCUCUCAAUGCCUGUGUGUGUAUCUGAACUGCAUCCUGCCAAGCUGUCACCUGCCCCAGCUUGUGGGGAAGGACGCUGUCAAGUUCAAGGUCCCUGGCAGGCAAACAGCACAAAUUCAGGUUCACAGACGUCAUCUCCCUCCCGCAUCAACUGCCCAUCAGGAAAAUCAGAGCUUGGUGCCGCUCUGGAAGGAACAGGUGAUGUAUGAGCCUGUCUGCGGGUGCCAGGUCCUGAUCUGUGUCCCUGUGAAUAAGAAGCCACUUAAGAGUGUCAGGCAAGUGGGGCCUGGCCCUCCUCCUGCCUCUAACUUUGACUCGGCUUUUGUGGAGUCUUUGUGAUGGUAACAUGGCAGAGCCCAUGUCAUUAGAUCAGCACCACAGAGGCAGGGUGUAGAAUAGUGUCAAAAGUCCAGCCCCUGCUCCCCAACAGAGCAUUCUGCUGUCAGAGGCUGCUCGUUUGUUCCCAGCUGCCCAGACCCGAAAUAAUCACUCAGAAACCAUAUUAUUUUACAAUACUGUUUGGCGUCUUUCUAGCUAGCUCUUAUAUCAUAAAUUAACCCAUUUCUAUUAAUCUGUGUAUCGCCACAUGGUUGUGGCCUACUGGUAAGGUUCCAUCCGGUGUCUGUCUCCUGUGGCGGCUCCAUGGCUUCUUCUUGACACCACCUGCUCUCUCCUCCUCUGUCUGCUUGGAAUUCCCACCUUGUUCUAUUCUGCUAAGCCACUGGCCCGAAACAACUUUAUUCAUUAACCAAUAAAAGCAACACAUAUACAGAA